CUCUCUCUCUCGAAUAUCUCUGGUUGUCUUCUCUGCCUCUCUGCUCUGUCUAAGUCUACAAGAAUACACAGAAAGAAAAACUUGGUAGUCACUUUCACUAGUGAUUUUGGCCGAUUUAGAGUUGGAUUUCGAAGAUGGUGUAGUUGAAGAAAAGAUAGAUUAAGGCAUUAUUUCAGCACUUGGAGGAGUCAUUUGGAGUCAUUGAGAGUUUCAGGUGUAGGAUUUGCGUAGCGAAGUGAACUAUGAAGUUGAAGAUCAAGGUAAAAUAAUUCAUCUUAGUAGCAAACAAGGAGGAGAUGAUGUGAUUGAAGAAAUUGUGUUUUCAUCUUCGUUGUCCCUUUUGAGGUUGACUCCGUUCAUAUAGUACUGGUGACGGAUAUUUAUUUGAACUAUUUUGACGCUUAAUUGCAUUUGCAAGCAUAUCCAUAUUGGAGCUAAGGUGUGGUUUACUCAGUGUCUUCCCGUCUCCGUCCUAACCACCGUCGAUCGCCCGCACCG